UCUACGGGUGGCAGCAGUGGGGAAUAUUGGACAAUGGGCGAAAGCCUGAUCCAGCCAUGCCGCGUGUGUGAAGAAGGCCUUCGGGUUGUAAAGCACUUUCAGUGGGGAAGAAAGCCUUGGGGCUAAUACCCUCGAGGAAGGACAUCACCCACAGAAGAAGCACCGGCUAACUCCGUGCCAGCAGCCGCGGUAAUACGGAGGGUGCGAGCGUUAAUCGGAAUUACUGGGCGUAAAGCGCGCGUAGGCGGUCUGAUAAGCCGGUUGUGAAAGCCCCGGGCUCAACCUGGGAACGGCAUCCGGAACUGUCAGGCUAGAGUGCAGGAGAGGAAGGUAGAAUCCCCGGUGUAGCGGUGAAAUGCGUAGAGAUCGGGAGGAAUACCAGUGGCGAAGGCGGCCUUCUGGACUGACACUGACGCUGAGGUGCGAAAGCGUGGGUAGCAAACAGGAUUAGAUACCCUUGUAGUC
rnacentral:rRNA from 1 species